AUUGAACGCUGGCGGCAUGCCUUACACAUGCAAGUCGAACGGCAGCACGGGGCAACCUGGUGGCGAGUGGCGAACGGGUGAGUAAUGCAUCGGAACGUACCUUUCAGUGGGGGAUAACGUAGCGAAAGUUACGCUAAUACCGCAUAUUCUGUGAGCAGGAAAGCAGGGGAUCGCAAGACCUUGCGCUGAUUGAGCGGCCGAUGUCAGACUAGCUAGUUGGUGAGGUAAAGGCUCACCAAGGCGACGAUCUGUAGCGGGUCUGAGAGGAUGAUCCGCCACACUGGAACUGAGACACGGUCCAGACUCCUACGGGAGGCAGCAGUGGGGAGUUUUGGACAAUGGGGGCAACCCUGAUCCAGCCAUGCCGCGUGAGUGAAGAAGGCCUUCGGGUUGUAAAGCUCUUUCGGCCGGGAAGAAAUCGCACGGGCUAAUACCCUGUGUGGAUGACGGUACCGGAAUAAGAAGCACCGGCUAACUACGUGCCAGCCGCCGCAGUAACAC
rnacentral:rRNA from 1 species